GGUAUUAGAAAACUUUCUGCGACCGUCUCCCGUUUUUCCGGAUAGAGGAUGCCGAGCUACUUUAAAGCCAUUUGUCGCAAGAACCGCAAUGUGGAGCUACGCGGAACUUUCAAAGCAGAUGGAGGAACGACGUGAAUUCAUGGAGAUUUGCCUGCUGGGAUCUUAGUGUGUGCCUUACCGCCGGAACCGGGGGGGAGAAUCCCCCCCACCCUCGGAGCCGCAGCGAUAUUUAAACAACGCAGACUCAGGGCACUGAGCACAGGGAAUGACAUCCAAGGCACAACACGAGCAGUGCACAGAUAGUGACUUAUCUUCCCGAGGAGAAUGAACGAGAUGUCAGUUUGGAACUAUUCCUGGAAUUACACCAGCAUGAGGUCUCCUCUACCAAUCUAAGGCAAUACUACUGAAAUGCAAGAAGUCCAAAGUGAUCUAUGUCCAGCUGACCAUGCACCGACAGUGUCAAGCCUGGCAAACGUUCUAUAUGCCUGCACUCAAAAGGAGAAGGAGAAUGGGUACCCCCUGGGACAUUGCUUCACAAGGCAUUGCAGACACACAUUUCUCUCUGAGGAGUAUUUAUUCAGCGGAACAGAAGCUUCUCUAGCAGGUGGACAUGUUUACUAAUAAUGCUAGACCAGAAUUCUGCUCCCAUGAAGCACCUUCUUGAGGUCACUGUGAAGAAUAGCUAGGUAGUUUUUAUCCACCAACACAGCAUAACAGCAAAUACAGCAGCACUGAAAUCCUGCUUUCCUUGAACAUGGAGCGCACCAGAGAAGGUUUCAGUUGCAAUCAUUUUGCAUCAGGAUGAGUCUGAUCUAAAACGAGGGCGGAAGCAGCCCUACUGGGAUUUGUUCACAUGAGUAAGUCAAGUAGGAUUUGCCAAGCGAUAUGCAUGAAAACUAAUUUGCUUACUGGAAUAUUCUUUUGAAGUGUUUUCUUUAAAUGAUUGCAGCUCAAAAGCAGCAGAAAAUUUAUCCAGGUCUGAGGUAUGUCUGCCUCAUUCUGCUUUCUUAAUGUUGCAUCAAUUAUGUAUGCCCUUGUCACUUUGGAUAACAGCCUGGAUAGAUACUAAUUGAAGAUAUUAAUGAUUAUGUAAUGACUUUCACUAAUUAUUUUUCUCUUUCAAGUAUUUUAAAAAAUUGAUUUUGUUGACAAUAGUAUGCUAUGAUGAAUGGUUGUUAAAAUGUCUCUGGUGCAAAAUGAAAUACAUUUCUGCAAUAAUUUCAAUUAUACCAAGUCAGGACAAUUUUAAUAAUAUUAUGGGUAGAUUACACUUUUUUUUUUUUUUUGCCUUUUUGGGAGUGGGAAUAUCUUUCAUAUUUACUAUUAUUCAUUAAAAACCUCCGUAAAUGCAAUCAAAUUAUUGUAAAAAAAACCACAUUUAAAGAUCCUGAAACAUACUGUAAAUGACACCAAUCCUUCGUGUUCAGAAACUUCAGAAGUUUGUCUUGAUUUCAAUGUGAGCUCUGUAAAUCAUUUGCUGAAAUAUAUAAAUAUAUAUAUAUAUAUUUGUUUAAGAAAAAAGCUUGAACAAAGAUUUUUUUUCAACUUUAUCACAUAUUUCAUCUAGCUAUCAAAAACUCAUUAACACAAAUUCAAUGAACGUCUUAGUACUCGGGAGAAUUAUGGUUUCUUAACAUCUGUUAAAGACACAUGUUGCUGCAUUUUCUAAAAACUGUCUUGGUUUCAUUCUUGUUGCCAAUCUGAAGUGCAUCACAGUGCAUAUAUACAGUGCCCAUUA